GCGCUCGUAGUUAAACGGAUAUAACGUAGGCCUCCGAAGCCUGAGAUCGAGGUUCGAUUCCUCGCGAGCGCGCCA
rnacentral:tRNA from 1 species